rnacentral:tRNA from 1 species
AGGGUAAUAGUUAAUUAUAACAUUUAAAUUGCAUUUAAAAAGUAUUGAAAUCAAUUUACCUUA